rnacentral:rRNA from 1 species
GAAGCAUGAGCUGUGAUGGGGAAGGAAAUUAAGUACGGAAGUUCCUGAUUUCACGCUGUCAAGAAAAGCCUCUAGGAAGAGUAGUACUGCCCGUACCGCAAACCGACACAGGUAGAUGAGGAGAGAAGCCUAAGGUGAGCGAGAGAACUCUCGUUAAGGAACUCGGCAAAAUGACCCCGUAACUUCGGGAGAAGGGGUGCUCUAUUAGGGUGCAAGCCCGAGAGAGCCGCAGUGAAUAGGCCCAGGCGACUGUUU